GCGCGGCGCGGCGCGGCGCACGCUCGUGUCGCUUGGGGCGGAUCCGCCGCCGGGGAGGCGGGCGCGUGUCCAACGCCCGAAGUUACUUUCGUCUUUGCACCUCGCCCCUACGGUUUGCGAACCACAAAGGCCACGGAUGGAGUUACAGUAGCAGCUGUCAUAAUGUUUCUUGAAUUCUUUUUCCAUCUUAAGUGUAAAGACAGCAGCUAAGUAGCUUUUAUCAACUAAGAAUUGAAUUUAGUUACAUCUUAAAAUAUUUCAGGUUAUACAGAUGUGACUUUUGUAAGAUACUAAUCGCUUGGUAAAUAUAACCAUUUAGUUUUUGUAAGACUUAAUGAGUUAAGAUUGGAAUUCAUAUAUAUUUUCUACUAACUUUGUGGUUCACAAGUGAAUUUCAAUGAAAAAAACAUAGUAUAAUCUGUUGCAUCAUUCACGUUCUUUCUCUGCAAUUAUAGAAAGACAGAAUGAUCCUGGGAUCUGCUAUCUGAUGUACUUCUGACAUAUUGCCUCCUUGAUAAUUGCAAGUGUACCUGGAGAAGCACUGCAAUCUUGCUUUGUGCUUUACAGCCACUCAGGGAUGAUGCUAUUAACUGGAAUAAAACGGGUGGCUAGGGUGUAGGUAGGACCUGUGUUUUGUACUGAUGCAAUGCUGAAGACACAGAAUUACAGAAGUAACCUUCACUGGGACUAGCAGUUCCACCGCUGGUGUUGAGUCCUAGCAGUUUGCUUCCCACUGCUUCAGCAAGCAGGAAAAACGGAUUAAAGGAACAGCCAACAAAUCCCUCUCACCUAAUCCCUCAUGAUUUGGUAAAAAUGGUUAGUUGCAUAUGAAAUACAAAUCAAAACUUUGACAAAUUGUCAUUUUCUAUCCUGAGAAAAAUACCUAUCAUCCCCCCAAAAGAGCUGAAAUAGCUGCAAACAUAAAAGCUUUUUGGAGAAAAGUUACAGGUAUAUAUGUUUAUUCAGAAAUAUGGUGGAAUCGAUUCAUCUUCAACUUCUGUGGGGGAAAGCCACAAGAGGGGGCUUAAUUUCUGUGAGGUUCUCCACAUGAAGAACUGGUGCUGAAGAACUGCCUUCACAUGAAGAACUGAUUCCAUCAGAGGGAAAGGAUUCAUACAUACCUUCUCACAGGCAAACUUACCU